GAGCUACACGUUAAAUAUAACAACCGUGGAAGGUUUUGACACAUUUAUGUCAAGUCUUACAAACAAAUCAUUCCGGCCAACUAAGAGUGGUAGUGGGGUUGACCUCGUCUUGAGCUGUGUAGAUAAUUAUGAAGCAAGGAUGGUGGUAAAUCAGGCCUGCAAUGAAUUAAAUCAGACAUGGAUGGAAUCUGGUGUAUCUGAAGAUGCUGUGUCAGGUCACAUACAAUUGCUGAUUCCUGGUGAAACUGCCUGCUUUGCAUGUGUGCCUCCUCUGGUAGUAGCAUCUGGAAUUGAUGAACGAACCCUAAAGCGUGAAGGGGUUUGUGCUGCAUCACUACCUACUACAAUGGGAGUUGUUGCUGGACUUUUAGUUCAAAACACAUUGAAGUACUUGUUGAAGUUCGGACAGGUGUCACGCUAUCUGGGGUACAAUGCUCUCAAAGAUUAUUUUCCAACAAUGGAGAUGAAGCCAAACUCACAAUGUUCAAAUGCUGCUUGUUUGGAACGACAGAAGGAAUACAUUCUUGCAAAGCCUACUAGGGAUGCUGCUGCUAAAGCAAAGGCGGACAUAGAAGCAGUAUCACCUGCAGAAAACCCUGUUCAUGCAGACAAUGAAUGGAACAUAAGCGUUGUAGAUGACGAAGAGGUGGAUGGUUCUGACGUGAAAAAUUCAGGUGUCCUUCCCGAAGGUAUUGUUCAUGAGCUGCCAGUAGCUGACGAUUACCCAAAAGCACCUGUCACAGAGACUGUUGGUCCUGCGGAUGACCUUGAAGAGCUCAGAAGGCAACUUGAAGCCCUUAACGCUGAUUAGACUACUGAAAAUACAAAAAGAGAAAAAUUCUUACUAUAGAGAAAAGUAAAACUUGCUCGAAGUUGCAUGAUGCUCGUGUAAAAUUUCCUUGCUUUGGAGAAAAAUUAUGCUUCCUAAAGUGAGCUCGAACACAUUUGGGAUCUUGGCGGCAUUUUUAAUGCCUAGUGUUCCUAUUCCCAGCAUGUGGGAUGAACUAGUCCUACAUUGCAACAACUUAC
rnacentral:misc_RNA from 1 species